rnacentral:rRNA from 1 species
UACGUAGGGUGCAAGCGUUGUCCGGAAUUAUUGGGCGUAAAGAGCUCGUAGGCGGUUUGUCGCGUCUGCUGUGAAAACGCGAGGCUCAACCUCGCGCCUGCAGUGGGUACGGGCAGACUAGAGUGCGGUAGGGGAGAUUGGAAUUCCUGGUGUAGCGGUGAAAUGCGCAGAUAUCAGGAGGAACACCGGUGGCGAAGGCGGGUCUCUGGGCCAUAACUGACGCUGAGGAGCGAAAGCGUGGGGAGCGAACAGG